CGGUGGGUACGGGCAGACUAGAGUGAUGUAGGGGAGACUGGAAUUCCUGGUGUAGCGGUGAAAUGCGCAGAUAUCAGGAGGAACACCGAUGGCGAAGGCAGGUCUCUGGGCAUUAACUGACGCUGAGGAGCGAAAGCAUGGGGAGCGAACAGGAUUAGAUACCCUGGUAGUCCAUGCCGUAAACGUUGGGCACUAGGUGUGGGGGACAUUCCACGUUUUCCGCGCCGUAGCUAACGCAUUAAGUGCCCCGCCUGGGGAGUACGGCCGCAAGGCUAAAACUCAAAGGAAUUGACGGGGGCCCGCACAAGCGGCGGAGCAUGCGGAUUAAUUCGAUGCAACGCGAAGAACCUUACCAAGGCUUGACAUGAACCGGUAAUACCUGGAGACAGGUGCCCCGCUUGCGGUCGGUUUACAGGUGGUGCAUGGUUGUCGUCAGCUCGUGUCGUGAGAUGUUGGGUUAAGUCCCGCAACGAGCGCAACCCUCGUUCUAUGUUGCCAGCACGUGAUGGUGGGGACUCAUAGGAGACUGCCGGGGUCAACUCGGAGGAAGGUGGGGACGACGUCAAAUCAUCAUGCCCCUUAUGUCUUGGGCUUCACGCAUGCUACAAUGGCCGGUACAAAGGGUUGCGAUACUGUGAGGUGGAGCUAAUCCCAAAAAGCCGGUCUCAGUUCGGAUUGGGGUCUGCAACUCGACCCCAUGAAGUCGGAGUCGCUAGUAAUCGCAGAUCAGCAAC
rnacentral:rRNA from 1 species